AAGUAGUAACAAGGUUUCCGUAGGUGAACCUGCGGAAGGAUCAUUAGUGAUUAAUUAUUGAGUGUAAAAAACUCAUAAUCUUCUAUAUAAACCACUGUUUUAAAAUGUUUACUAGAAUGUCCAAGCAGUUAAGCUGUUGAAAUAUUAAAAGUUUAAUAAAACUUUCAGCAACGGAUCUCUUGGUUCAG
rnacentral:misc_RNA from 1 species